rnacentral:tRNA from 1 species
UCUCUGGCAGUCCAGUGAUUAAGACUCUGCACUUCCAAUGCAGGAGGAACAGGUUCGAUCCCUGGUUGGGGAA